rnacentral:misc_RNA from 1 species
GAUGAAGAACGUAGCGAAAUGCGAUAAGUAAUGUGAAUUGCAGAAUUCAGUGAAUCAUCGAAUCUUUGAACGCACAUUGCGCCCGCCAGCACUCUGGCGGGCAUGCCUGUUCGAGCGUCAUUUCGACCAUCAGGCCCUCCGGGCUUGUGUUGGGGCUCCCUGCGGCUGUCCGCAGGCCCUGAAAACCAGUGGCGGGCUUGCAAAGUCACACCGAGCGCAGUAGAUUUUUUUCAUCUCGCUCAGGGCGUGCGUGCGGGCGCCGGCCGUAAAAGACGAGAGCGCGGCCUCGGCCGCCCACAAAUACCACAAGGUUGACCUCGGAUCAGGUAGGAAUACCCGCUGAACUUAAGCAUAUCAAUGAGCGGAGGA